UACGUAGGGCGCAAGCGUUGUCCGGAAUUAUUGGGCGUAAAGAGCUCGUAGGCGGCUUGUCACGUCGAUUGUGAAAGCCCGAGGCUUAACCUCGGGUCUGCAGUCGAUACGGGCUAGCUAGAGUGUGGUAGGGGAGAUCGGAAUUCCUGGUGUAGCGGUCGAAAUGCGCAGAUAUCAGGAGGAACACCGGGUGGCGAAGGCGGCUACCUGGACCGGAACUGACGGCUGAUGCGCGAAAGCGUGGGUAGCAAACAGG
rnacentral:rRNA from 1 species